rnacentral:misc_RNA from 1 species
UUGACUUAUUUGUUUAAGUAUACUCAGAGAGGCCAGUGGUAAAAACAAAAGAGUUUGGUUUUCCUCCGGCGGGCUCGGCGGCCGGCGCCCCCCUGGGGGGGAUCCCGGCCACCCGCCGAAGCAACUGUUUAGCGGUAGGUUCACAAUGGUUUAGGGAGUUUUGCAACUCUGUAAUGAUCCCUCCGCUGGUUCACCAACGGAGA